UACAGAGGGUGCAAGCGUUAAUCGGAAUUACUGGGCGUAAAGCGCACGUAGGCGGUUUUUUAAGUCAGAUGCGAAAGCCCCGGGCUCAACCUGGGAAUUGCAUUUGAAACUGGGGAACUAGAGUGUGUGAGAGGGGGGUAGAAUUCCAAGUGUAGCGGUGAAAUGCGUAGAGAUUUGGAGGAAUACCAGUGGCGAAGGCGGCCCCCUGGCACAACACUGACGCUCAGGUGCGAAAGCGUGGGGAGCAAAC
rnacentral:rRNA from 1 species